AUUGAACGCUGGCGGCAGGCCUAACACAUGCAAGUCGAACGGUAGCACAGAGAGCUUGCUCUCGGGUGACGAGUGGCGGACGGGUGAGUAAUGUCUGGGAAACUGCCCGAUGGAGGGGGAUAACUACUGGAAACGGUAGCUAAUACCGCAUAACGUCGCAAGACCAAAGUGGGGGACCUUCGGGCCUCACACCAUCGGAUGUGCCCAGAUGGGAUUAGCUAGUAGGUGGGAUAAUGGCUCACCUAGGCGACGAUCCCUAGCUGGUCUGAGAGGGUGACCAGCCACACUGGAACUGAGACACGGUCCAGACUCCUACGGGAGGCAGCAGUGGGGAAUAUUGCACAAUGGGCGCAAGCCUGAUGCAGCCAUGCCGCGUGUAUGAAGAAGGCCUUCGGGUUGUAAAGUACUUUCAGCGGGGAGGAAGGCGGUGAAGUUAAUAGCUUCACCGAUUGACGUUACCCGCAGAAGAAGCACCGGCUAACUCCGUGCCAGCAGCCGCCGUAA
rnacentral:rRNA from 1 species